UUUAAUUUAAAAAAUAUAUUUAUAUUAUCACGUCAUAUACUUAUGAAGAUAACCAUAAAACUUUAUUUUUAUUCAUAGAUAGCAUGUGAUAGAAAUUGAUAGAUUGUGAUUGAUAUAACUUUCAGUGUGGACAAUAAAUCGGACAGGAAUAGUGAUUUUGAACAGAUGAAUAUUCUACAUUAUCUAUAUUUUACAUUAUUUUACAUUUUAAUAGCAUCAGCUGUUCUAAAUACCAAGAUGAAUAUUUGAAUUUACAAUAGAUAAGAAAAUAAAAUAAAGAAACAAAUUACAUAGAAUAAUUUUGGAUUAGAUACGCACGCAUAAGAAUCGAACUAACGGGUCCAUGAAGCUCGUUUACGUGACCUCUGAGCGGUCAUCCCGCAGUUAAAUGCGCGAGAGGCUUUCUCCAAGGAUUGGAAUGCGGCCUCUCCCUCUGCCCAGCUCUCUGAUUCGCUUCGAGACAAGCAAGGAGAUACAUAUGUCGACCUCAAGAUCUAUUCUUUAAUCAAUUAAAAAGAUUUUAAUUCUUUCAUAAUAACUAAAUGCUGGAAAAUCAAUUUCCGUUGGCUUC